rnacentral:misc_RNA from 1 species
AGCAAUGCCCCUUACUCAUCCU